CCUACGGGGGCAGCAGUGAGGAAUACUGGUCAAUGGGCGCGAGCCUGAACCAGCCAAGUAGCGUGAAGGAUGACUGCCUUACGGGUUGUAAACUUCUUUUAUAAAGGAAUAAAGUGAGGCACGUGUGCCUUUUUGUAUGUACUUUAUGAAUAAGGAUCGGCUAACUCCGUGCUAGCAGCCGCGGUAAUACGGAGGAUCCGAGCGUUAUCCGGAUUUAUUGGGUUUAAAGGGAGCGUAGUUGGGUUGUUAAGUCAGUUUUGACAGUUUGCGGCUCAACCCCGACAAGCGGUUGAAACUGGCUUGCUAGAGUGGGCGAGAAGUAUGCGGAAUGCGUGGUGUGGCGGUGAGAUGCAUUGAUAUCACACAGGACUCCGAUUG
rnacentral:rRNA from 1 species